ensembl:misc_RNA 7SK 7SK RNA
GGAUCUGAGGGUGAUCUGCCUGCGACAUCUGUCACCCCAUUGAUCGCCAGGGUUGAUUCAGCUGAUCUGGCCAGCUAGGCGGGUGUCCCUUUCCUCCCUCCAUAUGCGUCCCUCCUGAAGCUGUGCACUCAGUUGAAGAGGAAGCCUUCCCCAAGACGGACCAGUCUUCGGUAGAGCUGCGCUGCCCUGCUAGAACCUCCAAACAAGCUCUCCAGAAGCUUCAGUGCUAUGCUUUCUUUUUCUGCUUGUCUUUGAGAAAGGUCAACCUAAAGCCUGGGGAAAUAGAGGAAUAACGGUUAU